GAUGAAGAACGUAGCGAAAUGCGAUAAGUAAUGUGAAUUGCAGAAUUCAGUGAAUCAUCGAAUCUUUAAACGCACAUUGCGCCCCCUGGUAUUCCGGGGGGCAUGCCUGUUCGAGCGUCAUUUCACCACUCAAGCCUCGCUUGGUAUUGGGCAACGCGGUCCGCCGCGUGCCUCAAAUCGACCGGCUGGGUCUUCUGUCCCCUAAGCGUUGUGGAAACUAUUCGCUAAAGGGUGUUCGGGAGGCUACGCCGUAAAACAACCCCAUUUCUAAGGUUGACCUCGGAUCAGGUAGGGAUACCCGCUGAACUUAAGCAUAUCAAUAAGCGGAGGA
rnacentral:misc_RNA from 1 species